rnacentral:rRNA from 1 species
CCUACGGGUGGCAGCAGUGGGGAAUAUUGGGCAAUGGGCGCAAGCCUGACCCAGCAACGCCGCGUGAAGGAAGAAGGCUUUCGGGUUGUAAACUUCUUUUCUCAGGGACGAAGAAAGUGACGGUACCUGAGGAAUAAGCCACGGCUAACUACGUGCCAGCAGCCGCGGUAAUACGUAGGUGGCAAGCGUUAUCCGGAUUUACUGGGUGUAAAGGGCGUGUAGGCGGGAAAGCAAGUCAGAUGUGAAAACCAUGGGCUCAACCUGUGGCCUGAAUUUGAAACUGUUUUUCUUGAGUACUGGAGAGGCAGACGGAAUUCCUCGUGUAGCGGUGAAAUGCGUAGAGAUGAGGAGGAACACCAGUGGCGAAGGCGGUCUGCUGGACAGCAACUGACGCUGAGGCGCGAAAGCGUGGGGAGCAAACAGGAUUAGAUACCCUUGUAGUC